rnacentral:lncRNA from 1 species
GGUUCCUAUGUGUGUUUUGAGUGCUAAUAUGGAUUGUGUUAAUUUUUUGUAUUUAUAUUCCAUCGAUUAAUUAGCCUUCAAUUAAGGGACAUAAUUUUUUUUUUUUUAAAUUGAUGAUAAACGACAAAUAUGAUGUGAAAUAGCUUUGUCAGUAAAGUAUUCAUGUCAAACACUCUAAUUUCAUUGAAAUUCACCUGAAAUGAAGGAAUCUUUGUUUAUAUAUGAGUGAAUUCUCUCAUUCUCUCAUCCUCUCAUCC